rnacentral:rRNA from 1 species
CAGCAGCCGCGGGAAUACGGAGGGGGCUAGCGUUGUUCGGAAUUACUGGGCGUAAAGCGCACGUAGGCGGCUUUGUAAGUUAGAGGUGAAAGCCCGGAGCUCAACUCCGGAAUUGCCUUUAAGACUGCAGAGCUAGCAGGUGAGAGAGGUGAGUGGAAUUCCGAGUGUAGAGGUGAAAUUCGUAGAUAUUCGGAAGAACACCAGUGGCGAAGGCGGCUCACUGGCUCAUACUGGACGCUGAGGUGCGAAAGCGUGGGGAGCAAACAGGAUUAGAUACCCCUGUAGUCCCUGUCUCUUAUAA